AACUAACGCUGGCGGCGUGCCUAACACAUGCAAGUCGUACGAGAAAGUCGGCUUCGGCUGAUGAGUAAAGUGGCGCACGGGUGAGUAACGCGUGGAUAAUCUGCCCUUGAGUGUGGAAUAACGUACCGAAAGGUGCGCUAAUACCGCAUAAUGCCUGGCAACACAAGUUGUCCGGCCAAAGAAGGCCUCUGUUUACAAGCUUUUGCUCAAGGAUGAGUCCGCGUACCAUUAGCUAGUUGGUGGGGUAACGGCCUACCAAGGCUACGAUGGUUAGCUGGUCUGAGAGGAUGAUCAGCCACACUGGAACUGAGACACGGUCCAGACUCCUACGGGAGGCAGCAGUGAGGAAUAUUGCGCAAUGGGGGCAACCCUGACGCAGCAACGCCGCGUGAGUGAGGAAGGUUUUCGGGACUGUAAAGCUCUGUCGAGCGGGAAGAAAUGUACCAUGGCUAAUAUCCAUGAUAUUUGACGGUACCGCUAGAGG
rnacentral:rRNA from 1 species